UACGUAGGGGGCUAGCGUUGUCCGGAAUCAUUGGGCGUAAAGAGCGUGUAGGCGGCCCGGUAAGUCCGCUGGGAAAGUCGGGGGCUCAACCCUCGAAUGCCGGUGGAUACUGUCGGGCUAGAGUGCGGAAGAGGCGAGUGGAAUUCCUGGUGUAGCGGUGAAAUGCGCAGAUAUCAGGAGGAACACCUGAGGCGAAGGCGGGUUACUGGGCUGAUACUGACGCUGAGGCGCGAAAGCAUGGGGAGCGAACAGG
rnacentral:rRNA from 1 species